UAAAUAAGCCCAAUUAAAAUAAAUAAGCCCAACUCUAAUUAAAAUAGGAAAAGCCCAAAAUUUCUUCCCCCAACAUCUCGGUUCUCUCUCCCUAUUUCCUCAAAAUCAAUUCUCGCCUUUCUCUCUCUGAUCUCUCUCAAAAUCGGCUGACACUCCCCUUCUCUCUCAAACCACGCUCGAUCGGCCCUCCCUCUCCGGCCACUCAGCUGCCGCCUGCUCCGGUCGGCGUCGACUACCGACGCGUCGAACCCCGGCGACGUCCUCCUUCUCCUUCCUUCCCCACGCUGAAUUCAAACGAGCCCUAUCUCUGGAAAUCAUCGUCGCGGUCGCGCCUCCAUCUGGAAUCCGGCGGGCGGUCGUCGCGUGGAAGCGGCUGCUGCUUCGCCUGGAGUCGCCGCCGGCUGGAGUUGCUGCUGCUCGUCCGGUGGUCAGCGCCUGCUGGAGGAGCGCUGCCGCCGCCCGCUGCUUAAGCCUUCCAGCGCCGCCGUGCUGUCACUGAUUUCCGCCGAGCCCCGACACCGCUGCUGCUACUGGAAGGCCGGCUUCGCCGUUGCUAUCGCUGUUCCCGGCGUUGCUCCGAUUUCUGGAGUCGGUCAGCUUCUUCCCUUCUAGUUGGUUAACGCCGUAGCUGUCGCCUUCAAGUCUCGCUAGCACCUUUGCCGCCGCCGCCGGGUUCUAGAAUCGGCGAGAUCUCCGUGCUCUCCUCACUGUGUUCGUCCGGCAGGUAGCAAGCCAGAGGCUGCCACCGCCAAGGACAGUCGCCCUCCUCUUUCUCCGGCAGUUAGGCUCGGCAGUUGCUUGGGCAGUCGGCCCAUUUUCCCAAAGCUAAGUUCGAUUCUCUGCUAUUGUAUUUCGAUUCAUGUUGCUACAUGAUGGGAGCUCUUAUGGCUUUGGUUGUACAGUGGUAAUAUCUCAAUGUAUGAAUCAUACUAUUUCUGUUGAAGGCCAUAAAUUAUGUACGCAUAUGUGAUUUGCUGCCCCUCUGUAAUAUACUUCAACCUAUAUUUCUGAACUUCUAAUACAUGAUGCGUGGGGUGAAAUGUAUAUGAAGAUAGUGAACUGAGAUAGCAUAAAAUACCUUGAGGUAUAGGUGUUGGUUGGCUGCUGUGGGUGGAUUGUGUUGGUUGGCUGCUGUGGGUGGAUUAAAUGGGAGGAUUCUGAAAUAAAUGAUAUAAAUCAUACUUGUUUCUUUCAAUAAAUGCAGGUUGCAAAUGUAAGAAGAUGAGGGAUAAAUGCCAAGGUGAAUAAUGGAGGAAGGUGGAUGAAUGAAAGCCAAAUCUCACCUUGGAGUUUCUGGCAGCAGCUUAGACUAUUUACUUCCCUUGGUUUGCUGGUGAUUAAGGGAGUGUUUUGGCUGAACUUGUAGGCUAGGAAGGCAAAGGGGCGAUGGAGUGCACUUGAGUGAUGAGUGGUAGGAAAAAUGAUGAGUGAUGGGGGAAAGUGAUUGGGAAAAAGUGAAUGGUUGGGGUGAAAAAUGAGUGGUCAAAGAUUGAUGGAAAUAAAAGAAAAAAAUAAUAGAGAAGAAUUAAUGAUGUAUUUUCUAUGUCUCGGUGAUUCCGUAACUGAAAUAAAAUACUGGCUUCGAUUCUGC